AGUUCGAGACUGUGACUUAAUUUCGAUCGAUUUCGAUUUAAAAUCGAAAUCGUGACACCCCUACUCAGCAGUCGUAUAUCCGUGAAGUUAAGCAAAACAGCAGCCUGCAGUAAGUUUAUGGUCACUCAGCAGUCGUAUAUCCGUGAAGUUAAGCAAAACAGCAGCCUGCAGUAAGUUUAUGGUCACUCAGCAGUCUUAUAUCCCUGAAGUUAAGCAAAACAGCAGCCUGCAGUAAGUUUAUGGUAACUCAGCAGUCGUAUGUUGAACCGGACUUCUGAUUAAAACGUCCAGUGAACGACAAUGAUGACGAACAACCCACCAUAACCUUAAACAGGCAUAUGAAACACACCUGAACAGCAUGUCAUUAAAGAACCCACGAAACUCAUCCGCUUCUCUAGAAGUUCGAACAACAACGAGCGCCGCCGAGUAUAUGGCGAUUAGUUCCGCUGUCCACUCUCCAGCUCUUGCACACCGUGCCGGAACAACAACAAUGACAUGACGUCACGUGCAAUGCCCUCCCAGGUUACGUACACCAACCGCCUUUAUAGUCCUCAUAACUAGAGCUAAAUCACCAUCCAGCCGAGCGUUAAUAGGCACAACUAAUGCCUACUGCUACACAGUGAAAGAAUGUGAUGUGAAAAAGAUGGGUCAGGGUAGCUACUAUCAUUUUGGCCUUACAAUUGCAAUAAUUUCAGAAUUUAAAAUUACAAGCGAGAGUGAACUGACAACAGAUACAUUGACUGUUCAUGUGAAUGUUGAUGGAUUACCUCUUUCUAGGAGCUCUAAUAUGCAGUUUUGGCCUAAAUUAGCUCAAAUAGUUGAAUUACCAAAGGCAAAUGUGUUUAUAAAUAGUGUAUAUGCAGGUCCCUGUAAACCUGAAUCGCCUACAUGCAUGAUUUUAUAGAAGAUUUAAAAGUUGUCACAAGAGUUGGUGUAACUUUUAAUGGUAAACACUACAAUGUACCACUGCCAGAUGCGUUUAUCUGUGACACCCCAGCAAGAGCCUUUUUAAAAUGUGUCAAAGGACAUGGUGGCUACAGUUUUUGUGAGCGUUGCACGCAGUAUGGUAUUUAUCUUGAUGGUAAAGUUGUAUUUCCUGAAAUGGAUUCAAGCCUAAGAACAGACACUCAGUUUGAUCAAAUGUUUGAUGAAGAGCACCACCACUCUAAAUCACCUCUCCAGGGCCUAGGCAUUGGCAUGGUUUCCAGUUUUCCUUUGGACUAUAUGCAUUUAGUUUGCUUGGGCAUUGUCCGUAAAUUAAUUGCUCUGUGGUUCAAGGCACCAUUGCAGUGUCGGGUUUCAUCUUCUACUCUAUCUGCUAUCUCUGAUCACUUGAAACUGUGUAGACCAAGCUUACCCUGAAGCUUCUCCAGAAAGCCACGUUCUUUGACUGAGUACAGCCAAUGGAAGGCUACAGAAUUCAGGCAGUUUUUAUUAUAUACAGGGCCUGUUGUGCUUUUUCAAAGAUUACCACGUCAACAGUACAAAAACUUUCUUGUGUUGUCAUCUGCUAUGAGAAUACUUUUGUCUCCUAUGUGUAGAGAAUUCUAUGGGUAUGCCCAAAAAUUAUUAAGAUGUUGUGUUACCAACUUUGAGAAGAUAUAUGGGACAAAAUAUCUGGUUAACAAUACACACAGUCUUUUACAUUUAGCAGAUAAUGCUAAAAAGUAUGGCCCUCUGGAUUCAGUUUCAUGUUUUCCAUUUGAGAAUUAUUUGGGACAGUUGAAAUAAAUUGUGAGAAGACCACAGAAUCCUGUGCAACAAUUUGUCAGGCAUGUUUAUGAAAGGCAAUUAUUUGCUCACAUGUCCGAAUAAAUGCCUGAAAAUGUUAAACUGACACAGCCUCAUGAAUUUGGACCAAUGCUGACAGAAUUUCAGCUGCAUCAGUAUGUUCAAUACAAAAUGUUCAAACACAAAGACACAAUGAUUUCAAGCUCCAUUGGUACCAAUUGUUUUGAACUUGAGGGAAGAGUUGGGAUUGAGCGGAACAUUGUGCAUUCCACUGUGACUGGAGGAACACAUGUGGUGUAUGAACUUUUUCAGACAGGGACAUGUUUUUUCAACUACCCCCUUGAUUCUACAUCACUUGGAGUCUGUCUGCUAUCAAAACUGUCUGGUCAGCUUUCCAGUGCUCCAGUGACAGACUUCACUAAACUGCUGCUUUUAUUGCCUCUUUAUCAUAUGUUUGUGGCUUUGCCUCAGCUACACAGUACAUGAUUUAUUGAACUCUGCAGGGUGUCCUCGUUCAGUGUUGUGGAGUUUGUGGAUGAGGUUGACUCCGAUGGCUGCAAGAAAAUGGACAUAAUUCCAUUCAAGUGGUUCAAGGGCACAGAGAGAAAAGUAUGCUGGUGGCCACCAGUCUCACUAUCCAAUGUAACGAAGGCUGUAAAAGAGCACGCACCACCAGCCAGCAACUGGAUAGCGUGUAACGUGCUUGUAAUGGGAAGCGCAGCAUCUUAUGCCGAAGCUAGGGUUAAACUCCACCAAGCUGAGUAUUCAUCAGACUUGACAGACACAGAAAAUAUCUCAAGAAAAAAAAAGGCCAAGUGCAAAAAUCCUCCAGAGUCAACUGAGCACUCAACUGCAAUCAAGUGAGAAUUCAGAUUAUUCAGAGGAGCUUCCACCCACUCCACCAAACCAACUCCUUUGGCCAGCAGUGAGAGAAGUGAGCAAUUACUUCCAAAACCCCACUGCCCAACGAGGCACCAGCCCCACAGCUACAAUUACCAGUCCCACAGCCCGAGGAGUUGCCAGCUCCCCAGCUACAGUUACCAGCCCGACGGCCAGAGGAGUGUCCAGGCCCGCAGCCCGAGGAGUUGCCAGCUCCCCAGCUACAGUUACCAGCCCGAUGGCCCGAGGAGUGUCCAGCCCCACAGACCGAGGAGUUGCCAUCUCCCCAGCUACAGUUACCAGCCCGACGGCCCGAGGAGUGUCCAGCCCCACAGCCCGAGGAGUUGCCAGCUCCCCAGCUACAGUUACCAGCCCGACGGCCCGAGGAGUGUCCAGCCCCACAGCCUGAGGAGUUGCCAGCCCAACUUGUGAAGCCAUGUUCACUAAAAUUCUAACAGUUUUAAAAGAAGUGAAGGAGACACUACGUGUUCAUGGAAAGAUGUUGAAUGCCCUGCUGAAAAAGCAAGACGGAUUAAUGGUAGAGGUUCCUGAAGGAGUGGACUUACCUCUGAAAACCCAGGCUGACCUUGAGGCUCUUGAUCAGAAGCUGGGGGAUCGUAGUGUCAUGUCUGCUGUUGUUGCCAUGGUGGUAGAUGUGGGUGGCGCAAGUAUAGAUGAUGCAACGAGAAGAAUGAUGAAAUACGUCUUUUUAAAUGAGCUGGCAUUGGAGUAGAAUUUGUUUGGCCGUCAUGGGAAAAAAAGUUUAAAGAUUUGCGUAUUUUCAACGUUGUGUAUGAGGCUCUUAAGAACAACCCCCUGACAUCAAAGGUCAACCAGCAAGAAGCUGAGAGAGCACUGUCAAAAUGGUUUACUGGAGCAAGAGACAGAGGAGGACAAAGGGCAUCAAGAAUGCACCAAAAGAUGGCUGCAGUUUAAAUUUGACUGAAAAGGUUAUAAGGUUAUAAGUAGCUGCAUCUAGCUGUUGUAGUUCUUGUAUUUUUUUCUGACAAUCGUGUUCUCAGAUAUGGUGGGUUGGCAGCUUUCCCAAACACUUAUGGCUGGUUCUAAAAUAGUUUUGUGCCUUUGUGACAUAAACAUGACAUGAUGGUUAGUUAAAUAAAGCUGGAUUUUGAACAUAUUUCAGUCUCACUGUGUUCUCUACUGCUUUAAAACUUGUAUGUGUGGUGUUGCUUCUCGUUUAGAUGGAACGCAGAUGAUCCCUAGUUGGGCCACAUGCAUAUGAUUCCUAGUUGGGCCCCACCUACAGCCCGGAAGAUCCUGCAUAAAACCUAAAUGAGUAAGUUGCUUGGGCCAACAUGGAACCCGUGAACAAACCCACUUUCAGCCCAUAUUUCAGCACAUGCAGUAACCUUGUAGUACCCACAAAAAAAAAAAAAAAAACUAAAGCUGGGACCACGAUGGGUCUUAUGCAUGUUGCCCAGUAAGGGGCCCACCUGUUUACAAGUGCCAUUCUAUAUGAAACCCAUGUGGGCAGUUGGCAUGGGGCCAUUAUUGAACCUGCAGAAAAUCCCAUAUAGAGCCCAUUUUUCAGCCCAUUUCAAACCAGCAUGGGCCCCACAUACUAAUACUGACAGCUUGGACCGAGCUGGGUUUUGUGCAUGUUGCCCACUUGGGUCCCGUCUAGUACAAAGUGCAAUCCUACAUGAAAUCCACCUGAACAAUAAACAUAGGGCCAUUAUGGAACCCACUGACAAUCCCAUACAGAGCCCAUUUUUCAGCCCAUUUCAAAACCACAGGGGCCCCACAUACAAAUAUCAACUGGGUUAAAGCUGGGAUCGAUAUGGGUCUUGUGCAUGUUGCCCACUUGGGUACCACCUAGUACCAAGUGCAACCCUACAUGAAAUCCAUCUGGGCAAUUAACAUGGGGCCAUUAUGUAACCUACGGACAAUCCCACACAGAGCCCAUUUUUCAGCCCAUUUCAAAACCACAUGGGCCCCACAUACAAAUGUUGACUGCGAUAAAGCUGGGACCAAUAUGGGUUUUGUGCAUGUUGCCCACUUGGGUCCCAACUAGUACCAAGUACAAUCCUACAUGAAAUUCAUCUGGGCAAUUAACAUGGGGCUAUUAUGUAACCCGCGGACAAUCCUACAUGGGGCCCAUUUUUCAGCCCAUUUCACAACCAUAUGGGCCCCACAUAAAGAUGUUGGCUGGGUACUAGAUCCUGGGUGGCAUGCAAUUGAUGAGGAAUGUCCCCACUGCAAAACAUCAGACCACACUGCUUUAGGUACAAAGAGACGGCCUGCAGGCCCAUUACCUGGGUCAGCCUCCUGCUGCUGUGCCUCUCUGACAAUGGACUCUAUUCCCCAUCUGACUGGUGCCACAAUCUUGGAGGGGGGAAUGAUCCUUACUGGGCUUGAGAUCAUGUUGGGUGGGUCAAACUGCCUGGAAAGAGAAUCAGGCUUUUGAUUCUUUGAACCUGGUCGAUAGGAGAGAACAAAAUCAAAGAGGUUAAAGAAUAAAGCCCAUUGGACCUGGCAAGAGUUAAGUCUCUUGGCGUCUUGGAUAUAGGCAUGAUUCUUGUGAUCUGUCCAUACAUCAAAGGAGUGUCCUCCAACCAGUGCCUCCAUUCCCCCAAUGCUAGUUUGACCGCUACAUCUCCCUGUCACCAAUAUCAUAAUUACUUUCCGCAGAUGAGAGCUUGUGUGAAAAGAAAGCACAUGGAUGCAACCUGUUGUCUCUUAUGGCUCGCUGGGAAAGUACAGCUCCUACUCCUACCUCUGAAGCAUCCACCUCCACUAUGAAGGGUGACUCAGGUUCUGGGAUGGUAAAUAUGGAUGCUGAGGUGAAUCUGUUUUUCAGUUUGCAGAAAGCCUUUUCGGCCUCAUCUGUACACAGGAAACCCUUAAUACUCUUUCUAGUAAGAGCCAUAAGUGGAGCAGCAAUUGCACUGAAAUUUCGAAUGAACUUUCAAUAGAAAUUGGAAAAGCCAAGGAAACGUUGUAACUGCUUGGCGGAAGUGGGAUGAGGACAAUCUCUAACUGCUUGGGUUUUUGCAGGGUCCAUCUGGAUAUGACCUUUAGACACAAUGGAACCCAUAAAGGAAACCUUUUGAACAUGAAACUCACUCUUCUCCAGUUUGACAAAGAGAUGGUUUCUCAGGAGUUGCUGGAGGACAAGGCGAACAUGCUGCACAUGUUCCUGGGGGUUCUUGGAAAAUAUAAGAAUGUCAUCCAAGUAUACAAAGUCUGUUUAGCAUGUCUCUUAGCACAUCAUUAAUCAAAGUCUGAAAUACUGCAGGAGCAUUUACCAAACCAAAAGGCAUAACUUGAUACUCAUAAUGGCCAGUGGGAGUAUUAAAAGCAGUCUUCCAUUCAUCACCAGUACGGAUGCGGACCAGAUGAUAUGCAUUGCUAAGGUCCAGUUUAGUAAAUAUAGUAGCCCCCUGGAGCAACUAAAAGGCAGUAAGAGAGGAUCCAGUGUGGCUUGUCUCCAAAAAUUUGAUUGAUGAGGGUCAUAAAAGCCAUCUGUUCUGGACACCUGUUUGUACACGCCCUCCCCUCCCUGUACAGUCCAGUGACCUAAAUAUGAACUUAUGAACCUAAGAAGGAAUUUCGGAGGGAGGGAAAAUGUGUCGGGAUCUAUGUGCUUUUUAAACUCUGAAAAUGGUGAAAUCAUGAAAAUGGUAUAAGGCAAGAUUUUAUUAAGGUUUUACAUACACAGUGCAUUUCAAGAAAAAGGUUAUAAACACAAACUAAAUGGAAACAAUGUAAAAACGGUGUUAAAGUUGUUACAAAUUAAAUAAAAAGAAAACUAGGUUACUGGUUAUUUAUCUAAAACAACCAAACAAGUCAAAAAACGUAUAUGUUUCAUUAAGCAACACAUGAAAAAGACGUGAGAGCUUGUAGCAUUACAAUUUAAAAAGGUGUUUUGUUUCCAGAUAGAAAACUAGGUUACAGAGUUUUAUAGCAUUUGUACCUUACCUCAAACUAAAAAAAAAGAAGCGAAUGUAAAGCAGCGAUACAAACCAGAAAAGUUGGUGUUUGUCACGUCGGGAUGAAAAGUUAAAA